rnacentral:rRNA from 1 species
UGGGGAAUAUUGCACAAUGGGCGAAAGCCUGAUGCAGCAACGCCGCGUGAGUGAUGAAGGUCUUCGGAUUGUAAAGCUCUGUCUUUUGGGACGAUAAUGACGGUACCAAAGGAGGAAGCCACGGCUAACUACGUGCCAGCAGCCGCGGUAAUACGUAGGUGGCGAGCGUUGUCCGGAUUUACUGGGCGUAAAGGGUGCGUAGGCGGAUGUUUAAGUGAGAUGUGAAAUACCCGGGCUUAACUUGGGUGCUGCAUUUCAAACUGGAUAUCUAGAGUGCAGGAGAGGAGAAUGGAAUUCCUAGUGUAGCGGUGAAAUGCGUAGAGAUUAGGAAGAACACCAGUGGCGAAGGCGAUUCUCUGGAUUGUAACUGACGCUGAGGCACGAAAGCGUGGGUAGCAAACAGGAUUAGAUACCCUGGUAGUCCACGCCGUAAACGAUGAGUACUAGGUGUAGGAGGUAUCGACCCCUUCUGUGCCGCAGUAAACACAUUAAGUACUCCGCCUGGGAAGUACGAUCGCAAGAUUAAAACUCUAAAGUGAAUUGAC